rnacentral:rRNA from 1 species
UACGUAGGGGGCAAGCGUUAUCCGGAAUCAUUGGGCGUAAAGCGCGUGUAGGCGGUUCCGUAAGUCCGCUCUGAAAGCCCAGGGCUCAACCCUGGGGAGGCGGGUGGAUACUACGGAACUGGAGUACGGAAGAGGAGAUUGGAAUUCCUGGGUGUAGCGGUGAAAUGCGCAGAUAUCAGGAGGAACACCAACAGCGAAGGCAGAUCUCUGGGACGUUACUGACGCUGAGACGCGAAAGCGUGGGGAGCGAACAGG